rnacentral:rRNA from 1 species
ACGGAGGAUCCGAGCGUUAUCCGGAUUUAUUGGGUUUAAAGGGAGCGUAGAUGGAUGUUUAAGUCAGUUGUGAAAGUUUGCGGCUCAACCGUAAAAUUGCAGUUGAUACUGGAUAUCUUGAGUGCAGUUGAGGCUGGCGGAAUUCGUGGUGUAGCGGUGAAAUGCUUAGAUAUCACGAAGAACUCCGAUUGCGAAGGCAGCCUGCUAAGCUGCAACUGACAUUGAGGCUCGAAAGUGUGGGUAUCAAACAG